GACGAACGCUGGCGGCGUGCCUAAUACAUGCAAGUUGAGCGCUGAAGGUUGGUACUUGUACCAACUGGAUGAGCAGCGAACGGGUGAGUAACGCGUGGGGAAUCUGCCUUUGAGCGGGGGACAACAUUUGGAAACGAAUGCUAAUACCGCAUAAAAACUUUAAACACAAGUUUUAAGUUUGAAAGAUGCAAUUGCAUCACUCAAAGAUGAUCCCGCGUUGUAUUAGCUAGUUGGUGAGGUAAAGGCUCACCAAGGCGAUGAUACAUAGCCGACCUGAGAGGGUGAUCGGCCACAUUGGGACUGGAACACGGCCCAAACUCCUACGGGGGGCAGCAGUAGGGAAUCUUCGGCAAUGGACGAAAGUCUGACCGAGCAACGCCGCGUGAGUGAAGAAGGUUUUCGGAUCGUAAAACUCUGUUGGUAGGGAAGAACGUUGGUGAGAGUGGAAAGCUCAUCAAGUGACGGUAACUACACAGAAAGAGACGGCUAACUACGUG
rnacentral:rRNA from 1 species